rnacentral:rRNA from 1 species
UUACACAUGCAAGUCGAACGAUGAUGCCAGCUUGCUGGCGGAUUAGUGGCGAACGGGUGAGUAACACGUGAGUAACCUGCCCUUAACUCUGGGAUAAGCCUGGGAAACUGGGUCUAAUACCGGAUAUGACUCCUCAUCGCAUGGUGGGGGGUGGAAAGCUUUAUUGUGGUUUUGGAUGGACUCGCGGCCUAUCAGCUUGUUGGUGAGGUAAUGGCUCACCAAGGCGACGACGGGUAGCCGGCCUGAGAGGGUGACCGGCCACACUGGGACUGAGACACGGCCCAGACUCCUACGGGAGGCAGCAGUGGGGAAUAUUGCACAAUGGGCGAAAGCCUGAUGCAGCGACGCCGCGUGAGGGAUGACGGCCUUCGGGUUGUAAACCUCUUUCAGUAGGGAAGAAGCGAAAGUGACGGUACCUGCAGAAGAAGCGCCGGCUAACUACGUGCCAGCAGCCGCGGUAAUACGUAGGGCGCAAGCGUUAUCCGGAAUUAUUGGGCGUAAAGAGCUCGUAGGCGGUUUGUCGCGUCUGCCGUGAAAGUCCGGGGCUCAACUCCGGAUCUGCGGUGGGUACGGGCAGACUAGAGUGAUGUAGGGGAGACUGGAAUUCCUGGUGUAGCGGUGAAAUGCGCAGAUAUCAGGAGGAACNNCNAUGGCGAAGGCAGGUCUCUGGGCAUUAACUGACGCUGAGGAGCGAAAGCAUGGGGAGCGAACAGGAUUAGAUACCCCUGGUAGUCCAUGCCGUAAACGUUGGGCACUA